CCUACGGGAGGCAGCAGUGGGGAAUUUUGGACAAUGGGCGAAAGCCUGAUCCAGCAAUGCCGCGUGAGUGAAGAAGGCCUUCGGGUUGUAAAGCUCUUUUGUCAGGGAAGAAACGGUGUUUUCUAAUACAGAAUGCUAAUGACGGUACCUGAAGAAUAAGCACCGGCUAACUACGUGCCAGCAGCCGCGGUAAUACGUAGGGUGCAAGCGUUAAUCGGAAUUACUGGGCGUAAAGCGUGCGCAGGCGGUUUUGUAAGUCUGACGUGAAAUCCCCGGGCUCAACCUGGGAAUUGCGUUGGAGACUGCAAGGCUAGAGUUUGGCAGAGGGGGGUAGAAUUCCACGUGUAGCAGUGAAAUGCGUAGAUAUGUGGAGGAACACCGAUGGCGAAGGCAGCCCCCUGGGUCAAGACUGACGCUCAUGCACGAAAGCGUGGGGAGCAAACAGGAUUAGAUACCCUGGUAGUCCACGCCCUAAACGAUGUCUACUAGUUGUCGGGUCUUAAUUGACUUGGUAACGCAGCUAACGCGUGAAGUAGACCGCCUGGGGAGUACGGUCGCAAGNUUAAAACUUCAAAGGAUUGACGGCUUGNGNGNGCGAGCGACGACGAGGAGAGG
rnacentral:rRNA from 1 species